rnacentral:rRNA from 1 species
GACGAACGCUGGCGGCGUGCUUAACACAUGCAAGUCGAGCGGUAAGGCCCUUUCGGGGGUACACGAGCGGCGAACGGGUGAGUAACACGUGGGUGACCUGCCCUUAGCUCUGGGAUAAGCCUGGGAAACUGGGUCUAAUACCGGAUAUGACUCCAUGACGCAUGUUGUGGGGUGGAAAGCCUUGUGCGGCUAGGGAUGGGCCCGCGGCCUAUCAGCUUGUUGGUGGGGUGAUGGCCACCAAGGCGACGACGGGUAGCCGGCCUGAGAGGGCGACCGGCCACACUGGGACUGAGACACGGCCCAGACUCCUACGGGAGGCAGCAGUGGGGAAUCUUGCGCAAUAGGCGAAAGCCUGACGCAGCGACGCCGCGUGAGGGAUGACGGCCUGGUGUAA